rnacentral:rRNA from 1 species
GACGAACGCUGGCGGCGUGCUUAACACAUGCAAGUCGAACGGAAAGGCCUGCUUUCCCUUGUGGAUUGCGGGUACUCGAGUGGCGAACGGGUGAGUAACACGUGAGUGAUCUGCCCCCAACUUGGGUAUAAGCCUGGGAAACUGGGUCUAAUUCCCGAUAGGACUGCAGGGUGGUGCCUGUGGUGGAAAACGAUUUUCUAGUGGUUGGGGAUGAGCUCGCGGCCUAUCAGCUUGUUGGUGGGGUAAUGGCCUACCAAGGCGGCGACGGGUAGCCGGCCUGAGAGGGUGGACGGCCACAUUGGGACUGAGAUACGGCCCAGACUCCUACGGGAGGCAGCAGUGGGGAAUAUUGCACAAUGGGCGGAAGCCUGCUGCAGCGACGCCGCGUGGGGGAUGACGGCCUUCGGGUUGUAAACUCCUUUCGACCGCGAGGAAGCCACCUGGUUGGAAGGGUGGUGACGGUAGUGGUAGAAGAAGCACCGGCUAACUACGUG